GGGGCCUACGCGUCAUGGCACCAGUCGAGUGGUUUCAGACUCAGGGACUCCCUAGGGUCAGAGGAAGGCAGCAGUGCGCAGCCAAGGCACUGGAGAUACCAUCCUCUGAGACAAAAAUUGUCUUCAAACUAUGGCUGAUGCCACCUCACUCCGUGUGAAAGAGCUCCCCAAUGCUGAAGUGCAGAAGAACCGCGUACUAACCCUGGAAGAAUGGCAGGAUAGGUGGGUGACCUGUAACAACGGAUUUCAUCAGGAACAAGGGCAUUGCAUCUUCAGAGCAACUGGUACCUCUGUGAGGAGGUGGAGAGCCAGUUUCACCUGAGCAAAGUUUCCUGUGCCGAGGGUCUUGAGGAUCUUAUAUUUAUUUUUAAGGACAUCCUCUUCAAAGCAUCUGUCCUGUGGGUCCUGCCGCAUCAUCACCCCGUCAGUCCUGCUUCCAUCCAUUGUCUAUCUCAGUACCAGCUCACAAUACUGGAUAUAAAAAAACAAAAGCAGUUCUGUUAAAUUUUAUUGUUAAAUUAAAUUACUAUGGCUGUAAAGUACAUACAGCAGAGUUGAUUUUGGCUUCCAGAUGGAGCAUCCAUAAUAGCAGGCAAGGUGUGGUCGAAGAUGGAAGCAAAAAUCUAAGAGGUCAUAAGCUAGACACACAGAAGAGCAAAUCAGGGGAGGCUAUAAAUACUCGAGCAAGGCUGAACUUCUAAAGGUUCAAUAACCUCAAACAGUGCCACCAACUAGGGACGAAGUGUUCAAAUAUGUCAGCCUAUGAAGGACAUUUUUUAAGGGGAAGUUCAUAUCCGUAAGUUCCCUCAUUAAACAAUCAGAGAUAUAAACAAUCUGAUCAAAAUAGCCUAAGGAACUUAGCAACAAGUGCUCAAAACAGUGGUUAAUAAACAUUUUAAGUGUUUAUCAUCCUUAGCCACCAUGGAAAUGUGAUUUUAAAAGAGCUUGGAAAUUUCAUUGCACUGCAAUCAGAAUGAGUAUAAUCAGAAAAACAAAUCAGUAGAAAUGCCAGCAGCCAGCAAGAAUAUAGGGAAGAGGAAUCUUUUAUUCACUAUGAGUGGAAGUACGAAUGGGAGAAUGGGAGAAUGGGAGUACAAACAGGUGUGGGAGUGCUAACGGGUGUGCGGGAGUGUGAACAAGAGUGUGGGA